CAGCAGCCGCGGGAAUACGUAGGUGGCAAGCGUUGUCCGGAAUUAUUGGGCGUAAAGGGCUCGCAGGCGGUUUCUUAAGCCUGAUGUGAAAGCCCCCGGCUCAACCGGGGAGGGUCAUUGGAAACUGGGAAACUUGAGUGCAGAAGAGGAGAGUGGAAUUCCACGUGUAGCGGUGAAAUGCGUAGAGAUGUGGAGGAACACCAGUGGCGAAGGCGACUCUCUGGUCUGUAACUGACGCUGAGGAGCGAAAGCGUGGGGAGCGAACAGGAUUAGAUACCCCGGUAGUCCCUGUCUCUUAUAC
rnacentral:rRNA from 1 species